rnacentral:lncRNA from 10 species
ACGCGUCGCGCGGUGGGCGGGAGUUGGCGGACGGUCCCUGGCUGGGUUCUGGAGGCCCUGGGACCGCGGAAGAGGCUUCAGACGCUGCAGCGAUGCCUCGCCCACGGCGGGUCAGUCAGCUCCUGGAUCUUGAUGCUUAGGAAAGAUUUUAUAUCAUUAAAAAGAAAUUGGGAGGUCACUUCCAAGAUGGCUAAAUGGGAACAGCUCCAGUCUGCAGCUCCCAGCAAGAUUGACGCAGAAGAUGGGCGAUUUCUGCAUUUCCAACUGAGAUGCUACUGGACUUGAAUGGUUAAUAAAAUUGCACAAUGUUGUUGGUGGCAGUGACUUCUUUCUGUUCAGAUGCCUUUGGUGCUUCAUGAAGAAUAUUUCCAGAUAUCUCACAGACAUUAAGCCUUUGCCUCCCAACAUAAAAGACAGACUGAUUAAAAUAAUGAGUAUGCAGGGACAGAUAACAGAUUCAAAUAUAAGUGAGGGUCAUGCUCCGUUGCCCAGGCUGGAGUACAGUGGUGCAAUCUCAGCUCACUGCAACCUCCGCUGCCUGGACUUAGGUGAUCCCUCUU